GAUGAACGCUGGCGGCGUGCCUAAUACAUGCAAGUCGAGCGAACGGACGAGAAGCUUGCUUCUCUGAUGUUAGCGGCGGACGGGUGAGUAACACGUGGAUAACCUACCUAUAAGACUGGGAUAACUUCGGGAAACCGGAGCUAAUACCGGAUAAUAUUUUGAACCGCAUGGUUCAAAAGUGAAAGACGGUCUUGCUGUCACUUAUAGAUGGAUCCGCGCUGCAUUAGCUAGUUGGUAAGGUAACGGCUUACCAAGGCAACGAUGCAUAGCCGACCUGAGAGGGUGAUCGGCCACACUGGAACUGAGACACGGUCCAGACUCCUACGGGAGGCAGCAGUAGGGAAUCUUCCGCAAUGGGCGAAAGCCUGACGGAGCAACGCCGCGUGAGUGAUGAAGGUCUUCGGAUCGUAAAACUCUGUUAUUAGGGAAGAACAUAUGUGUAAGUAACUGUGCACAUCUUGACGGUACCUAAUCAGAAAGCCACGGCUAACUACGUGCCAGCAGCCGCGGUAAUACGUAGGUGGCAAGCGUUAUCCGGAAUUAUUGGGCGUAAAGCGCGCGUAGGCGGUUUUUUAAGUCUGAUGUGAAAGCCCACGGCUCAACCGUGGAGGGUCAUUGGAAACUGGAAAACUUGAGUGCAGAAGAGGAAAGUGGAAUUCCAUGUGUAGCGGUGAAAUGCGCAGAGAUAUGGAGGAACACCAGUGGCGAAGGCGACUUUCUGGUCUGUAACUGACGCUGAUGUGCGAAAGCGUGGGGAUCAAACAGGAUUAGAUACCCUGGUAGUCCACGCCGUAAACGAUGAGUGCUAAGUGUUAGGGGGUUUCCGCCCCUUAGUGCUGCAGCUAACGCAUUAAGCACUCCGCCUGGGGAGUACGACCGCAAGGUUGAAACUCAAAGGAAUUGACGGGGACCCGCACAAGCGGUGGAGCAUGUGGUUUAAUUCGAAGCAACGCGAAGAACCUUACCAAAUCUUGACAUCCUUUGACAACUCUAGAGAUAGAGCCUUCCCCUUCGGGGGACAAAGUGACAGGUGGUGCAUGGUUGUCGUCAGCUCGUGUCGUGAGAUGUUGGGUUAAGUCCCGCAACGAGCGCAACCCUUAAGCUUAGUUGCCAUCAUUAAGUUGGGCACUCUAAGUUGACUGCCGGUGACAAACCGGAGGAAGGUGGGGAUGACGUCAAAUCAUCAUGCCCCUUAUGAUUUGGGCUACACACGUGCUACAAUGGACAAUACAAAGGGCAGCGAAACCGCGAGGUCAAGCAAAUCCCAUAAAGUGGUUCUCAGUUCGGAUUGUAGUCUGCAACUCGACUACAUGAAGCUGGAAUCGCUAGUAAUCGUAGAUCAGCAUGCUACGGUGAAUACGUUCCCGGGUUU
rnacentral:rRNA from 1 species